GAUGAACGCUGGCGGCGUGCCUAAUACAUGCAAGUCGAGCGAACAGAUGAGGAGCUUGCUCCUCUGACGUUAGCGGCGGACGGGUGAGUAACACGUGGAUAACCUACCUAUAAGAUUGGGAUAACUUCGGGAAACCGGAGCUAAUACCGGAUAAUAUAUUGAACCGCAUGGUUCAAUAGUGAAAGACGGUUUUGCUGUCACUUAUAGAUGGAUCCGCGCCGCAUUAGCUAGUUGGUAAGGUAACGGCUUACCAAGGCAACGAUGCGUAGCCGACCUGAGAGGGUGAUCGGCCACACUGGAACUGAGACACGGUCCAGACUCCUACGGGAGGCUGCAGUAGGGAAUCUUCCGCAAUGGGCGAAAGCCUGACGGAGCAACGCCGCGUGAGUGAUGAAGGUCUUCGGAUCGUAAAACUCUGUUAUUAGGGAAGAACAAAUGUGUAAGUAACUAUGCACGUCUUGACGGUACCUAAUCAGAAAGCCACGGCUAACUACGUG
rnacentral:rRNA from 1 species